UGAGCAAUCUGCCCUUCUCUUCGGAAUAAGCGUUGGAAACGACGUCUAAUGCCGAAUACGACCUCCUUUCGCAUGAUCGGAGGUGGAAAGCUCCGGCGGAGAAGGAUGAGCUCGCGGCCUAUCAGCUAGUUGGUGUGGGUAAUGGCCCACCAAGGCGACGACGGGUAGCCGGCCUGAGAGGGUGACCGGCCACACUGGGACUAAGACACGGCCCAGACUCCUACGGGAGGCAGCAGG
rnacentral:rRNA from 1 species